rnacentral:rRNA from 1 species
UACGGAGGAUCCGAGCGUUAUCCGGAUUUAUUGGGUUUAAAGGGUGCGUAGGCGGCCUGUUAAGUCAGGGGUGAAAGACGGUAGCUCAACUAUCGCAGUGCCCUUGAUACUGAUGGGCUAGAAUAUACUAGAGGCAGGCGGAAUGUGACAAGUAGCGGUGAAAUGCAUAGAUAUGUCACAGAACACCAAUUGCGAAGGCAGCUUGCUAUGGUAUAAUUGACGCUGAGGCACGAAAGCGUGGGGAUCAAACAGG